UUGCAGCAAAUAUGAGCAAAUCUACUAUUCCAGCUCCAUAAUUGAUCUCACCAACCCCACCAGAUUUUUAAUCUCUUUGUCUACAGUACCUGAUAUUAUAAUUGAGGUUGUCGAAUUUAUCCCUGAACACAUUCGCCACUUGUUUCAAUUUUUGUAAUCCCGCCUCCCAGUUCGUCCGCAGAAGUCGCAAGCACGCAAGCGCUUACUUUGAAAUCUUCACCAUUCUUGUCGAGUUAUACAAGUAGAUCUGGAAAAUUAUGUGCGACACAUCGCGGACUGUUGGAGUGUCUUGAAGGCCAUCGAAAUUGAGCCGAUUGUCCCGACAACAGGUGGUGUUGGUUCAAGGGUUGUUUGGGUGCCCUUGACGGCAAUUACAUUAAUUUAAUGGUGAGUAAUGCCGAUAAGCCGAGGUAUCGCACCCGUAAAGGCAAUUAUUAUCUAUGCGACAAUGGGUAUGCGAACACCGAGGGAUUUCUUGGCCCAUACAAAGGGGUAUGCUAUCACUUGAAGGAAUGGGGCCCGAUGGCAUCCAGACCUCAAAAUGCAAUGGAGUUGUUCAACUUGCACCAUUCGAAGGCACGCAUUGUUAUUGAACGUGCGUUUGGUAUCAUGAAAAUGCGCUGGGGUAUUUUGAGGAGCAGUACAUUCUAUCCCGUUAAGACUCAAAUUCGCUUAAUUAUGUCGUGCUUCAUAUUGAAUAAUUUUAUUUGGUCUGAGAUGCCCGAUGAUCCCAUAGAGCGAAAGCUUGAUAGUGUAACUGAAAACGACCAGACAGAGCUAGAGAUCGAUGCUGCUUUCAUAGAUGAUAUCGAGUCCUCUCCCCAAUGGAAUGCAGAAAGGGAUGCGCUAGCCCAGACGAUGUGGCUGAAUUACAUGAACAAUACCUGAUUUGAAUACCUGUCAGCACGUGGCUGUUAUUUUAGACAUUUUUAGUUUCUUUUAUACUGGACCUGUUAAAUGUCGAAUGUUGUGUAGUAAGUAAUGAUAUUGUUUAGUUUAGCUAAUUGUUGGUGAUGCAGUCUUCCAAUGUGUUUCGAUGCAGCCACCUUCUCUUUUGUUUCUUGAUGUUAUUACGUUAGAAAUUGUUGACUAUGACUGUGUUUGUUGUUGUUGGUGAUCCACAUCCUAAUAUGAUCUAAUUUAAUCUUA